rnacentral:rRNA from 1 species
AAUUUUAAAUACAUUCACUCAAUAUAGUUAAUAAGAAAAUUACAUUUAAGUCCUUCUUCGGGCAGGCUUUCAAAAUGCCCUCUGCUGAUAGUAACGUAACUCGCCUAAGCUUCUAGAUGGUCUGCACCUUGAUCUGUACUGUUAGGUUAACCUUAUGUGAUAGUAUAUUAUAUAUUACCUGCUGACGACGGCAUACAAAAUAUUACUAGAAGUAGAUUUCCUUGGUGGUUAUCAAUUACUUGGUAAGUUCCCCUAAAUCUUAAAAUUACCGCCAUGCUAUUUGAGUUUUAACCAACAAGGUUUUAGUACUCGGUGUGUUAAAGUGGGUAUUGUAUAAAAGGGUAUCUAAUCCUUGUUUAUGGGCAAUAUUUUAACAGAAUAUAGCUACUAUAGACUAUAAAUGUUAUUUCACCAAUAUUAGUUAUUUAGCUUUUCUUUUUAACACCUACAUUUGUUCACUACUAUAGAAGUCUGACCGCGACUGCUGGCACUUCAUGGGUCAUAGUAGAUAUAGCUGGUUUAACCUUACUUCCGUAAAUUUUUAAAUUCUCUUGCCUGGUUACCCCUUUUAGUACCAUAAGUAGCCUGCUCUAUAUGAACGGUCCACCAU